ACGAGAUAUUCUACUUUUAAGUUUGGGUCGAGAAAGAAUAAUGGGCAUCAUUCCACUGCUCUCCUCAUAUCGAAACUUAAAAGUAGAAUAUCUCGUAAAGUGGUU